AGUUUCGCUUGAACUUUUGAAUGAUUUGAAACUGUGGGAAUGUCUUUGGGUGUGUGAUGCUGAUUGUUCUAUUCCACUGAUUGUU